rnacentral:tRNA from 1 species
GGAUCAUUAGCUCAAUUGGUUAGAACGGGUAGGUUAUUACUUACUAUGUGUCGGUUCUAGUCCGGCAUGAUUCG